UUUUAUUAGGAGCCCCGCCAAUAAUUUUAUUUUCACUUUCACUGUUCCAUAAUUUUCUUGAUAAAAAAGAAGGGCUUCUAGGAUAUAUGACACUGUAUAGAAGUAUUGGCCUGUAAUUGUAUAACAUCUCUUUUUUUUUUUGUGCUGUGAAGAAAUCCUAAUCUUCUAUCAAAAACCUGUACACAAAUGGCAAAGGCGUUUGUAAAAUCCAUUGUUUUAAAGCGUUCAAUAUCAACUUCGCCUCAUCUCUAUGAGAGAAUUAAACAAACAGAUAAUGAAAUAGUCAAUAUGUUCCGGGUACCCAGUAUGAAUAAUAAGAUGCAAAACUUGCCCAUGAACAGAAAGUUUUCAGGGAAGGACACAUCGACUAGGAAGUUGGACGAGAGAUUCAUAAGGAUUUUGAAGAUCUUCAAAUGGGGACCUGAUGCUGAAAAGGCAUUGGAAGUACUAAAGUUGAAAGUGGAUCAUCGGUUAGUUCACGAGGUUUUGAAGAUAGAUGUUGAGAUUAAUGUGAAAAUUCAGUUCUUUAAGUGGGCUGGUAAAAGGAGAAACUUUGAGCAUGAUUCCAGUAGUUUCAUGGCUUUAAUCCAUAGUUUGGAUGAAGCUGGAUUUUAUGGUGAGAUGUGGAAGACAAUUCAAGACAUGGUGAGAAGCAGCACGUGUGUUAUUAGUUCUGUUUAUUUAUCUGAAAUUGUUAAAUUAUUGGGUAAGGCCAAGAUGGUUAACAAGGCACUUUCUGUAUUUUACCAAAUUAAAGGUCGAAAAUGCAAACCAGCGGCGACUACUUAUAACUCUAUGAUCUUGAUGUUGAUGCAAGAAGGUCACCUUGAAAAGGUUCAUGAGAUUUACAAUGAGAUGUGUAAUGAUGGCAAUUGUUUUCCGGAUACUGUAACAUAUAGUGCACUUAUUUCAGCUUUUGGAAAAUUGGGUCAUUAUGAUUCAGCAAUAAGGUUGUUUGAUGAGAUGAAAGAGAAUGGUCUAUAUCCCACUGCAAAGAUUUAUACUACUUUGUUAGGAAUUUAUUUUAAAUUGGACAAGGUCGAGAAGGCUUUAGAUGUGAUCAAGGAAAUGAAAGAUAAGGGGUGCACUCUGACUGUCUUUACUUACACAGAGUGGAUUAAGGGGCUCGGGAAAGCUGGUAGGGUUGAUGAUGCUUACAGGGUGUUCUUGGAUAUGAUAAAAGAUGGCUGCAAACCUGAUGUUGUGCUCAUAAACAGUUUAAUUAACAUUUUGGGUAAAGUGGGUCGUCUCGAAGUUACUCUUAAGCUUUUUCGCAAAAUGGAAAGUUGGCAGUGUAAACCAAAUGUGGUGACAUAUAACACUGUAAUAAAGGCUUUAUUUGAAUGCAAAGCUCCGGCUUCUGAAGCUGCAUCAUGGUUUGAGAAAAUGAAAGGUUGUGGUAUUGCCCCUAGCUCAUUUACUUACUCAAUUCUUAUUGAUGGUUUUUGCAAAACAAACAGAAUUGAGAAAGCUUUAUUGCUGCUGGAAGAGAUGGACGAAAAGGGUUUUCCUCCUUGUCCAGCAGCCUAUUGCAGCUUGAUCAACAGUCUUGGAAAGGUAAAACGAUAUGAAGCUGCAAACGAGUUAUUUCUAGAGUUAAAAGAGAAUUGUGGACAUUCAAGUGCUCGUGUAUAUGCUGUGAUGAUCAAACAUUUUGGAAAAUGUGGCCGUCUUAGUGAGGCUGUAGAUCUUUUUAAUGAGAUGGAGAAACUUGGGAGCAAACCUGAUGUUUAUGCUUACAACGCACUCAUGUCGGGGAUGGUUAGAGCUGGCAUGAUAGAUGAAGCUCAAUCAUUGCUCAGAACCAUGGACGAAAAUGGUUGCUCUCCAGACCUAAACUCACAUAACAUCAUCUUAAAUGGCUUAGCUAGGACAGGUGUCCCAGACCGAGCAAUUGAAAUGUUUGCGAAGAUGAAGUCUUCAAUAAUUAAGCCAGACGCAGUUUCUUACAAUACUGUUCUUGGCUGUCUGAGCCACGCUGGUUUAUUUGAGGAAGCUGCAAAGUUGAUGAGAGAGAUGAAUUUGAAAGGGUUUGAAUAUAAUAAUAUCACCUACACUUCAAUUCUUGAGGCAGUUGGCAAGGUUGAUGAAGAUCGUGCACCUGCUGCCUUGUGAACAGAACCAGUUAUUGUGUCACAUUCCUUUCAUUGCUCGUAUUUUUCAUCCUAAAAUGCUUUCAUCUAAAAUGGUUGUGGAUUAUAGUUUAAAUACACCAUUUGGGACCAAUUCUUCGUUAUGUUCCUUGUUAUCUAGUUAUACCCUAUACCAUGAUAAUGGGGCAAUACAUAACAUGGGAAGAUCCACUGGUCGAAAGUUUUGUGUAGUAAUAAUUGCGAAGUAAAUAUCUUUUUUGAGUCACUAUCAAGUGUUGCUGGAGGGAGAGAUGGAAGGAAACGGGGGGGAAAUAAUUGGUUUGUUUCUUUACUGAGGUGAAUCUUACAUUCACUAAGCAGAAAUAUAGAAAAGGUAGGAACUAGGAAAUAUUAGUAAAUUUUAGAACUGGUCAUUGCAGAUGAGGCAAAUGUAUCUUAGAACUUAAAGGUCAACUUCCUGAUCCUAUAAAAUUAUAGACCUCCAUGUGGGGGUCAACUUUAUGACCAAGUCCAGUCUAUCUUUUGUUUAUAACUUUUAUCAAUUGUGACUGUUAACUGAUGUGCACUAGUUGAAAAAAUGUGCUCAAACUUAUAUGAAACCGCUUCUGCAAUCACAGUGUUAGGAAUUUUUAUGCAUGCAUCCCUCUUUCUUGCACAUAAAUAUUUUUUUGCUUGAAUCACUCAGAGCAAUAACUUGCAAGUCAUUUUCGUGGGAAUACUAACUUUCCUUCCAUUCUUGUCAAAGAAAAGAAAUUUUCCAGGGAAGUGGCAGAGGGGUUCUAGUGAAAUCAGGAGCUGAAAGGAGACCUUUGACCAUGCGAAGGAUAUGGUCUGCAUGACAAAUUUUUUCUCCGCAAUACAAUUGGAAACUAUGGGAGACAUGAUUGUGAUGAAAAUCAAUAGCUUUCCGCAAGCCAAAAGCAACAUCAAAUUUAAUGGCCUACUGUGACGCAUAAUGUGGUAGAGAGAAUAGGCAAGCUACUGGUGAACUGCUCAGAUAUGAAACUGUGGGAAUUACAAUGGUAGCAAAGUUGGAGAAGCAUAGAAGUCGCUCAUAUCUCAUUAAGGAAUGACAGUGCUCUCCUUAUUUAUGUAUGAUAUGAAAAUUGGUAUUUUGGUUUCAAUCUUCUGCAUAGAAGUUAUAAAUUCGGUGAAUAAUUAUGACUCUUGAUGGUGCUAGUCUCUUUGGUUCAGCGGACAUGUACAGGUGGAAUCUAAGCAUUAGAAUGUCAAUCUCACAUAUGAAUAGCAAGCAAAGGAAUCAUUAUUGCUGCAAGCUUCAGAUUUUUAUGGCUUAUCCUGACUUCAAAAAUGCAUCAGGCACUGGAAUAGAAUAGUCCUAUUCCCCAUAAUCCGUCUUUGAACUAAAUGGAAUAGAAAUAAGGAUGAUAUCAGCUAUUCUCACAUGCUGAAGCACAGUUCUGCUGUAUUUACAAUGAGGGUAGAGGGAUGUGUAUCAUGAGAAACUAGACGUCAGCAUGUCAAAUUCAGAUUACAUAUAUAUGAGAUAGAAGUAGAUACAAGCGCAAGCUCAGUGUUGAAAUUGCUAGCAUGGCUAUGGGCUUAUUUUAUUAAAAAUUGGAAUGGAGAUGGAGAUUUGUAUUUAGUAUUUAUUUGUCA